UGAAUACGAGACGCUAAGGCGUCGAAGUAGUGUAUGUCAUACUUCCAAGAAAAGCUUGCACUGUCAUAAGUAAAAAAUGCCUGUACCAUAACCGACACAGGUGGGUAGGUAGAGUAUACUAAGGGGCGCGAGAUAACUCUCUCUAAGGAACUCGGCAAAAUAACUCCGUAACUUCGGGAGAAGGAGUACCUUAUUCUAUAAGGUUGCAAUAACAAGAUCCAAGCAACUGUUUAUCAAAAACACAGGUCUCCGCUAAGUCGUAAGACGAUGUAUGGGGGCUGACGCCUGCCCAGUGCCAGAAGGUUAAAGAAGUCGGUUAGCAUUAGCGAAGCUGGUAACUGAAGCCCUGGUGAACGGCGGCCGUAACGAUAACGGUCCUAAGGUAGCGAAAUUCCUUGUCGGGUAAGUUCCGACCCGCACGAAAGGCGUAAUGAUUUGGAUACUGUCUCGGAGAGGGGCUCGGUGAAAUAGACUUGUCUGUGAAGAUGCGGACUACCUGCACCAGGACAGAAAGACCCUAUGAAGCUUUACUGUAACUUGAAAUUGAAAUUGGACUUUAUUCGCGCAGUAUAGGUGGGAGGUGUUGAUUAUAAUCUUGCGGGAUUAUUGGAGCCAUCAGUGAGAUACCACUCUUGUAAUGUUAGAUUUCUAACUUUGAAUCAUUAUCUGGUCAAAGGACAGUUUCAGGCUGGCAGUUUGACUGGGGCGGUCGCCUCCCAAACGGUAACGGAGGCGUACAAAGGUUUCCUCUGAACGGGUAGAAAUCGUAUCUAGAGUGUAAAGGCAUAAGGAAGCUUGACUGUGAGACCUACAAGCCGAACAGGGACGAAAGUCGGUCUUAGUGAUCUGACGGUACUGAGUGGAAAGGCCGUCACUCAACGGAUAAAAGUUACUCUAAGGAUAACAGGCUGAUCUCCCCCAAGAGUUCACAUCGACGGGGAGGUUUGGCACCUCGAUGUCGGCUCAUCGCAUCCUGGGGCGGUAGUACGUCCCAAGGGUUGGGCUGUUCGCCCAUGAAAGCGGUACGCGAGCUGGGUUCAGAACGUCGUGAGACAGUUCGGUCCAUAUCCGGUGUAGGCGUUAGAAUAUUGAGAGGAGCCUUCUUUAGUACGAGAGGACCGAGAAGGACAUACCUCUGGUGUACCAGUUAUCGUGCCAACGGUAAACGCUGGGUAGCUAUGUAUGGAGUGGAUAACCGCUGAAAGCAUCUAAGUGGGAAGCCCACCUCAAGAUAAGUAUUCUC
rnacentral:rRNA from 1 species